GACGAACGCUGGCGGCGUGCUUAACACAUGCAAGUCGAACGGAAAGGCCCUGCUUUUGUGGGGUGCUCGAGUGGCGAACGGGUGAGUAACACGUGAGUAACCUGCCCUUGACUUUGGGAUAACUUCAGGAAACUGGGGCUAAUACCGGAUAGGAGCUCCUGAUGCAUGGGGGGGGUUGGAAAGUUUCGGCGGUGGGGGAUGGACUCGCGGCUUAUCAGCUUGUUGGUGGGGUAGUGGCUUACCAAGGCUUUGACGGGUAGCCGGCCUGAGAGGGUGACCGGCCACAUUGGGACUGAGAUACGGCCCAGACUCCUACGGGAGGCAGCAGUGGGGAAUAUUGCACAAUGGGCGGAAGCCUGAUGCAGCAACGCCGCGUGCGGGAUGACGGCCUUCGGGUUGUAAACCGCUUUCGCCUGUGACGAAGCGUGAGUGACGGUAAUGGGUAAAGAAGCACCGGCUAACUACGUG
rnacentral:rRNA from 1 species